GCCAGAGGCCCCAAGCGUUAGGCGGAAUCACUGGGCUUAAAGCGUGUGUAGGCGGACGCCUAAGUGUCUUGUGAAAUCCCACGGCUCACCCGUGGAACUGCUGGGCAUACUGGGCGUCUUGGGCCAACUAGGGGCAGCCGGAACAAGCGGUGGGAGCGGUGAAAUGCGUAGAUAUCGCUUGGAACGCCGAAGGUGAAAACAGGCUGCUGGGGUUGUGCCGACGCUGAGACACGAAAGCCAGGGGAGCAAACGGG
rnacentral:rRNA from 1 species